rnacentral:rRNA from 1 species
GACGAACGCUGGCGGCGUGCUUAACACAUGCAAGUCGAACGGAAAGGCCCUGCUUUUGCGGGGUGCUCGAGUGGCGAACGGGUGAGUAACACGUGAGUAACCUGCCCUUGACUUUGGGAUAACUUCAGGAAAAUGGGGCUAAUACAGGAUAGGAGCUCCUGCUGCAUGGGGGGGGUUGGAAAGUUCCGGCGGUGGUGGCUGGUAUGGAGGGUUACUGGCUUGUUGGUGGGGUUGUGGCUUACCAGGGCUUUGACGGGUAGCCGGCAUGAGAGGGUGGCCGGCGUCAAUGGGACUGAGGGACGGCCCAGUCUCCUACGUGAGGCAGUAGUGGGGAGUAUGGCGCAAUGGGCGGAAGCCUGAGGCAGCAACGCCGCGUUCGGGAUGACGUCUUUCGGGUUGUAAACCGCUUUCGCCUGUGACGAGGCGUGAGUGACGGUAAUGGGUAAAGAAGCACCGGCUAACUACGUG